rnacentral:lncRNA from 1 species
CGGCACAGAGACAGCGUGGACAAGAUGUGUGUCGCGUUCGACAGAAAGGAAUGAUUUGCCAUAUUGGCAGAUUUUGUAAAUCACGACAGAUCAAGAUGAAGGAUAAGACCCAAAAUCACACGAGACGAGGAGCAUGUACGUCUGUAUGAUUCCUAAAGGUCAGCUACCGAGCCUUUUAGGACUGCCGAAGAAGGAUCAAACCACCCAGAUCUUCAUCUGUUGUUACGUACUUGCAGAGCACGUGUUCUGCAUCCCACUUCAUGCACAGGUCCACGAGUCGCAGGGUGCGACGGCGCCACCCGGUGGCCGAAUCAACACGAGGACCUGACAUCUUCUUGGCCAUCUUGGCAUUGGCCAUAGAGGCAAUGAGGGCGGCAGCAGCUGCAAGAACAGGAGGGAAGGUGCAGCAGCCGACAGAGAAGAUUCGCAUGUUAGGGUGCGAUGGCGGUCGAGUUGUGGUUGCCAAGGCCGUUGCCGUUACGCGCCAGUUCACUGUUCUUUUGGCUGUCAAUUGGUUGUAAGGGAUGCAGCAUCGACGUGGCAGCGGGUUAGAAAACCGAAGAAUUGAGUGAAAAGAGUUCUUGCAGAUUCCAUGGCAGCAUACGUCCGCAAAGGUUCUAAUGGGUUAGCCUGGGUCUUUUUUAUCCUGCACAAACAAGAUCAUUGUUGCGACAUCAACACGAGGGUCUAUGCGCAAAACGGGCCGCAUGGCAAACGCGACAGAGGCGG